AGUGGCUCUACAGAAGAGAAAGCAGUAGUCUUCACAUAGCAAUUUUUCCUAGAGAUUCUUUAUUAAAGAAAAGGAAAAAAUGUGAAAUUGCUACUCAGGAAAGGCCAUUCUAAAUGAGCAAAGCCAAUAUAAACCAAAAGUAUAUACUUUUCCUUGAGCAGAAAAACCCGAGGACUCCAUUACUUAUCUAUACUGAGGUAGGAUUUUCCAGAGGCUAUCCCUGCUCUGGCCAAGACCUACUUAUACUUCCAUCAAGCAACUGCACUAUGAUUUAAUUAACCAUUUUACCGCGUGGACAUCUAAGUUGUUUGAAUUAUUUGGAUUCUUUGCACAUGACAAGUUCAAAGGUAUUAAGUUUCUGAAGACAAACCAUAAAAUAUCCUGUCAAGAGCUGGAAUAGAGUGGUUUAUCCACCACUUUGUCCCUUGAUCUGAGACUCAUACCUGGAACAUACGAAGGUGUUCAACAAAUACUUGUUGAAUAAAUUUGGAGUUUCCAGUUCAUGAUCAGUUGGUCUCAACUAUUUGGGCCAACUGGAUGAGGCAACACAUCAUGGCAGUAGCAUGUGGUGAAACAAGCCUAUUUAUAUCAUGAACCAGAGAGCAAAAGGAAAGAGGAAAAAGAUGGGGUUCCACAGUCCACUUCAAGGACACUCCCCCAAUGACUUAAGGAGCUCUCACAAAGCCUUUAUCCAAAUCACAGCACUACUUCAAAUCAAUAUCAAACUCAGAUACUGUGUUAGUUGGGAUUGAUAUUGCUUCAUUCAAUUUAUCUAUGUUAUAAUCACUCAUACUGAUGAAUAUUUUUGUGUUUCUAAUAAACAAACAUACCUAAAUCUAUAUCAUAUGAGCUGAUAACAAAACAAAUCCACUCAUCUAUUUUUGUGAAAUAGACUCGAAG